GCUGGGCCGGGAGGUGAGGCCUGGCUCACCAGUUCUCCUGUCCAGCUUGGAGAAAAGAAGCCCCCCGCCCAUCUCCUCUGGCUGCCCCCGGGACCUGGAGACACAGAGAGGAGGAGGAAGAGCAGGAGGAUGAGUACGAGCUGCCCCCCUGUGAGGCUCUAACCCUCCGCCGAGCCCCCGCCCACCUUCCUGGCACGGAGGAGGACUCUUUGUACUUGGAUCACUCUGCCCCCCUGGGCCGUCCCACGUCACCGCCACCGCCACCACCUCCCCAGCCUCAGCCGGAGAUGGCCACCACGUUGUGCCCACAGCCCAAGGCAGCCCCGAGCCUGCAGGAAGCCCUGAAGCAAGGCUGGCCCUUUGGGAGGCGAGGUAAUGGGAAUGUCCUAUCGCUUUGUGAGGUCCCUGCCCCGAGAAGGGGGAUUCUGGCCCCCAGGAGGCCAGGCGAGUUGAGCUGGGGUGUUGAGCGAGGUGGGGGGAGUUGAGCUGGCUUUACACUGGUGUCAUGCUUUUGACGGUGGCUUCAUC
rnacentral:lncRNA from 1 species